GAUGAACGCUGGCGGCGUGCCUAAUACAUGCAAGUCGAGCGAACGGACGAGAAGCUUGCUUCUCUGAUGUUAGCGGCGGACGGGUGAGUAACACGUGGAUAACCUACCUAUAAGACUGGGAUAACUUCGGGAAACCGGAGCUAAUACCGGAUAAUAUUUUGAACCGCAUGGUUCAAAAGUGAAGGACGGUCUUGCUGUCACUUAUAGAUGGAUCCGCGCUGCAUUAGCUAGUUGGUAAGGUAACGGCUUACCAAGGCAACGAUGCAUAGCCGACCUGAGAGGGUGAUCGGCCACACUGGAACUGAGACACGGUCCAGACUCCUACGGGAGGCAGCAGUAGGGAAUCUUCCGCAAAGGGCGAAAGCCUGACGGAGCAACGCCGCGUGAGUGAUGAAGGUCUUCGGAUCGUAAAACUCUGUUAUUAGGGAAGAACAUAUGUGUAAGUAACUGUGCACAUCUUGACGGUACCUAAUCAGAAAGCCACGGCUAACUACGUG
rnacentral:rRNA from 1 species